rnacentral:rRNA from 1 species
GACCACAGCCAUAUCACCCUGCCUGGUUUCUUACUCAAGUUAAGCAGUGAUGAGCCUGGCCAGAACCUGGAUGGGAGACCAGCUGGGGAAAACUAAGGUUGCUGCUGAAG